GACGGAGGGUGCGAGCGUUUGUUCGGAUUGACUGGGCGUAAAGGGCGUGUAGGCGGUCGGCCAAGUCUGGUGUGAAAGCCCGGGGCUCAGCUCCGGAAGUGCGCCGGAAACUAGCUGGCUGGAGCGCGGUAGAGGAGGGUGGAAUUCCUGGUGUAGCGGUGAAAUGCGUAGAUAUCAGGAGGAACACCGGCGGCGAAGGCGGCCCUCUGGACCGUUGCUGACGCUGAGACGCGAAAGCGUGGGGAGCAAACAGG
rnacentral:rRNA from 1 species